AAUUCGGCUAUUUUUGCGAAAGUAGGGUUAUUUUCGCGGAAAUAAUAGCAAAAAAAACUUUACAUUGGUGAGGUCAAAUGUAGGUCACGUGGGUAAAACUAAAUGCUAUUUUCGCGAAAUGACUUACAUAAGAAAAUAAAUCUGUUUUUGAUGAAAAUAAAGUAUUUUUUGCGAAAAUAAGAUUUUGAUAAAAAUCUAUAAAUAGGGUUUGUUUUGGCGAAGAUAACAUAUUUGAAAAAAUAUAGUUAGUUUUACCCAAGUGACCUACAUUUGACCUAAAAAAUGUAAAGUUUAUUUUGCUGUUAUUUUCGCAAAAAUAUCCUAUUUUCGUAUUUCAGUCAUACCCGUAUUACCUGAAAAUUUUAAAUAACCGACAUAAUUAAGGAAUGUUUAUAAUCGGAUUUAUUAUAAAGAUUUUAAAACAAGACAAUAUUGAGAGAUAUCCCUUACAUGACUGCGAAACAGUGGCUCCAGCUCUUUUAGGAGCUGUGUAUAAAAAGGAGCCAAUGACACUUCCGAGCUAGAGCAAAAAAACGGAUAUCAUCGUAAAACUAGUAACCACAGUGACCAGAUUAACAGACACCAUGGGUGAGAGAGAGACAUGUAUACAGUGAGAACACUCAGUUCCAUAAACUUUGUGUUGCUUCGUGCUUCGUGCUUCGUGCUUCAUGUUGAUUCAUGAUUUAUCUGUAUAGAAACGAAGAGAGUAAACUAUGGAAAACAGCUUUUGUUAGUUAUACACACUAGGACAUAAAACGAACCUCGACCGGCUUGGUCUUAUACUCACUAUAACUAUAUGACCUUAAUAAAGGUCAGGGUAAAGGCCAGACCAUUAUAAUGGCGCCCAACGUGAUUUAUUGUGAAAAGUGUGUUUUUCAUAUGGAUUAGAUAGAGUGAAAUUUGUGUGGACUACAGAUCAACUGCCACUGUUGUAAACAUAACUAUAGUUUUAAACCUGCAGAUAUCAGGAUUUAACCAAUACACAAUUUGACAAACAUGCCAUGCAUGGAAUUUAAAUUUGGAUUUAAAUGUUAAUGGAUCUAUUGGACAUUCGUUGAGAUGCAACAUACCGAGGAAGCCAGCACAUUCCCAAGAUUGACCCAUGUGUACGUUAGAAUUCGGAUGGAUAUAUGGAAUGCCAAGGAUGACAUUCAGGGAAGCAGGGACCAAACCAGGAUAUACCGGAAAUGAUGAACAUUUGUUGUGUGAAAUGACAUGUAGUGACACUUGUGUUUAGUGGCCAUUGUGAGAGACUUGCUGUGUUUCUGGUUUUGGAUUUUUAGUAACCACAGUGACCAGAUUAACAGACACCAUGGGUGAGAGAUGAGAGACAUGUAUACAGUGAGAACACUCAGUUCCAUAAACUUUGUGUUGCUUCGUACUUCGUGCUUCGUGCUUCAUGUUGAUUCAUGAUUUAUCUGUAUAGAAACGAAGAGAGUAAACUAUGGAAAACA